rnacentral:tRNA from 1 species
GCCUGGCUGGCUCAGUAGAAAGAGCAUGCGACUCCUGAUCUCGGGAGCGUGAGUUCAAGCCCCGCACCAGGCG